AUUGAACGCUGGCGGCAUGCCUUACACAUGCAAGUCGAACGGCAGCACGGGUGCUUGCACCUGGUGGCGAGUGGCGAACGGGUGAGUAAUACAUCGGAACAUGUCCUGUAGUGGGGGAUAGCCCGGCGAAAGCCGGAUUAAUACCGCAUACGAUCUACGGAUGAAAGCGGGGGACCUGCGGGCCUCGCGCUAUAGGGUUGGCCGAUGGCUGAUUAGCUAGUUGGUGGGGUAAAGGCCUACCAAGGCGACGAUCAGUAGCUGGUCUGAGAGGACGACCAGCCACACUGGGACUGCGACACGGCCCAGACUCCUACGGGAGGCAGCAGUGGGGAAUUUUGGACAAUGGGCGAAAGCCUGAUCCAGCAAUGCCGCGUGUGUGAAGAAGGCCUUCGGGUUGUAAAGCACUUUUGUCCGGAAAGAAAUCCUUGGCCCUAAUACGGUCGGGGGAUGACGGUACCGGAAGAAUAAGCACCGGCUAACUACGUG
rnacentral:rRNA from 1 species